rnacentral:rRNA from 1 species
UACGUAGGGUGCGAGCGUUAAUCGGAUUUACUGGGCGUAAAGCGUGCGCAGGCGGCCCGUUAAGUCAGGUGUGAAAUCCCUGGGCUCAACCUAGGAACUGCGCUUGUGACUGGCGGGCUCGAGUACGGUAGAGGGGGGUGGAAUUCCUGGUGUAGCAGUGAAAUGCGUAGAGAUCAGGAGGAACACCGAUGGCGAAGGCAGCCCCCUGGGCCUGUACUGACGCUCAUGCGCGAAAGCGUGGGGAGCAAACAGG